ACAAGGGAAAAUGUCAAAAAAUUGUUUUAUUAAUAACAAUAAUGUGUUUAGGAAGUGUAUUAAAUAUAUCAUUUUCUGUCAAAUUAAUUAAUUAACAAUGAUAGAAUCAUAUGAGAGCAAGUAAUAUGAAAGGAAUGUCAAAGGGCAACAGUUAAUCUACGUUUUCCUCAAAAACAAACUAUUAAAUGUUUUGUUUUUUUUCUUAAAGUCACGUACAUGGUCAAGAAAACCACGCAAAACACCCUCUAUUUACGUCACUUGAUUAGACUAGACUAAUCCAGAUCUUAAAUGAGCACGACACACUUAAUCACAGUACCGAAAAAACUGACAAGGUAAUUAAAUACUGUCCGCAAGAAUGUGUUAAUACAAGUAUGAAAAGGUGCUACAAACGUUAUACAUGACAGCACUGAUUGACAGAUUUCUGCAUAAUUUUAUCACCCCCAGGGUAAACAUGACUCCUGCUAAUAAUAAUGUCUUCACAAAAUAUAUUACUUCUUGUCUAAAACCACGCAAUUUAUAUCCUUACAACCCCACUGACCUAUCUUUAGGACCACAGUAUAAAAGGACACAAAUCCACACCACAAUCAGCAAUCUACUCUAGCACUCCGUAGUGUUCACUUCAGCAAGGCUUUACGCUUAACAGAAAAUCUUUUUUUCAAAACCGUUCAUGAUGAAGGCUGUUAUUUGUGUACUUCUUGCUUGCAUUCUUGCUGUGGCUUAUGCCCAGGUCUCAACAAGCACUAGUGGAGGAGCCAGCUCAUCACCAAUGGGUUCAAUGUUCUCUUCCAGGUGGAAUGCCAAACCAAAUGCUCUAUAUGGCUGCACUUGGUGGAAAUGAAAAUGCUCGCUUAAUGCUUCAAUGCAGCAUGAUGAACAUACCCUGGAUUUUGUGUAUGAGAACCAUGUCUUAAGAUGAACCUUGAUAACUUGGACAGAUCGGGGCUGGACCCUUUAUCUUUACGGCCUUAAAAUCCAAAACUGUUACAUGAGAUUUGGUAUCAGUGUUGACCACCAACAAUGCGUCAAGUUCCUCUUUAGAACUCUUCAACAAUCGAGACUUUCAUUACAUAUCAGUUAUCUUUUGUUAAAUAAAAGUGUGCAUCAUUUUUCCAUUAAAGUAACAGUGCAUCAUUUAAAUUAUUAUUAGUGUGAAUAAAAAAAAACAAACUCUCAUUACAUCUUACAGAUUUUCAUAUUAAACAUAGGUCAGUUCAUAUUAAAUAUAGGUCAGACUGAAUAAAGUCUUGUUUUGUUAUUGUUUCUAUUUAUUUAUAACAAAAUAAAUUAUUAUGAAAACUGA
rnacentral:lncRNA from 1 species